rnacentral:rRNA from 1 species
CAGUAGCCGCGGGAAUACGUAGGGUGCGAGCGUUAAUCGGAAUUACUGGGCGUAAAGCGUGCGCAGGCGGUUGUGUAAGACAGGUGUGAAAUCCCCGGGCUUAACCUGGGAACUGCGCUUGUGACUGCACAGCUAGAGUAUGGCAGAGAGGGGUGGAAUUCCACGUGUAGCAGUGAAAUGCGUAGAGAUGUGGAGGAACACCGAUGGCGAAGGCAGCCCCCUGGGCCAAUACUGACGCUCAUGCACGAAAGCGUGGGGAGCAAGCAGGAUUAGAUACCCGUGUAGUCCCUGUCUCUUAUAC